AGAACUUAGCAGAGAUGCUUUGGUGCCUUCGGGAACUCUGAGACAGGUGCUGCAUGGCUGUCGUCAGCUCGUGUUGUGAAAUGUUGGGUUAAGUCCCGCAACGAGCGCAACUCUUAUCCUUUGUUGCCAGCGGCUCGGCCGGGAACUCAAAGGAGACUGCCGGUGAUAAACCGGAGGAAGGUGGGGAUGACGUCAAGUCAUCAUGGCCCUUACGGCCAGGGCUACACACGUGCUACAAUGGCGCAUACAAAGAGAAGCGACCUCGCGAGAGCAAGCGGACCUCAUAAAGUGCGUCGUAGUCCGGAUUGGAGUCUGCAACUCGACUCCAUGAAGUCGGAAUCGCUAGUAAUCGUAGAUCAGAAUGCUACGGUGAAUACGUUCCCGGGCCUUGUACACACCGCCCGUCACACCAUGGGAGUGGGUUGCAAAAGAAGUAGGUAGCUUAACCUUCGGGAGGGCGCUUACCACUUUGUGAUUCAUGACUGGGGUGAAGUCGUAACAAGGUAGGCGUAGCGAG
rnacentral:rRNA from 1 species